AACUGAGGCAAAGAGUUAAGUGUUUUAUUUUGAAAACAAAUUUAGGUCUUUGCGGCACUUCCUGCGAGUAAAGGUACUUCUUCCGUUAUUUUUAUCAGGUGUAGAUGGGGCAUGAUUUCUAUUUUCUUGACUUUUUAAAUCCGUAGUAAAAUAAACUAUGUGAAAUAUGUUUAUUUGUGCACAGUUGACUUAAAUUAGAGGUUCCUUCCCAACCUUUUUCCCCAGAGGACUCCUUGCCUGAUACGGGCUGUUGGGUCCCUGUAUGACCGGUGUCAGAGCUUGGUCCCCAUCUCACUGGGUCCACGUUUCCAGUGAGAGAUGGACUCCGCCAAGGCUGACCUUUGCCACCGAUUCUGUUCAUAACCUUUAUGGACAGGAUGUCUAGGCACAGCCAAGAUGUGGAGGGCAUCCGUUUUAGUGGCCUGAGGAUCAGGUCUCUGCUUUUUGCAGAUGAUGUGGUCCUGUUUGCUUCAUCAGAACGUGAUCUUCAGCUUUCACUGGAGCGGUUUGCAGCUGAGUGUGAAGCAGCUGGGAUGAGAAUCAGCUCCUCUGAACCUGAGACCAUGGUCUUGAUUCGGAAAAGGGUAGAAUGCCUUCUCCGGGUCAGGGAUGAGGUCCUGCCCCAAGUGGAGGAGUUUAAGUAUCUCGGGGUCUUGUUCACGAGUGAGGGAAAACUGGAGCGUGAGAUCGAUAGGUGGAUUGGUGCUGCGUCUGCAGUGAUGCGGGCGUUGUACCGGUCUGUCGUGGUGAAGAGAGAGCUGAGUCAGAAGGCAAAGCUCUCGAUUUACCGGUCGAUCUACGUUCCUACCCUCACCUAUGGUCACGAGCUUUGGGUAGAGACCGAAAGAACGAGAUUGCAGACACAAGUGACUGAAAUGAGUUUUCUCCGCAGAGUGGCUGGGGGCUCUCCCUUAGAGAUAGGGUGUGAAGCUUGGUCGUCCAGGAGGGGCUCGGAGUAGACCCGCUGCUCCUCCACAUUAAGAGGAGUCAGUUGAUGUGGCUCGGGCAUCUGGUCAGGAUGCCUCCUGGACGCCUCCCUGGUGAGGUUUUUCGGGCACGUCCAACCAGGAGGAGACCUAAAGGGAGACCCAGGACACGGUGGAGGGACUAUUGGGCCAUUCCCAUCUGUACCGGGUCGGGUAGCGUAGGUUGUUUACAUAUCUGGGUGGCCUGGUAUUUUUCCGGGCCAACCAAGGCUCAUUCUCAGCCCUCUUCUCGAGGGGGUCUGCUUCAGGCCGACCAGGGCCAACACACCCACUGCUGACAGCAAAUUCACACCUUCCAUUAGAGCAAGCCUCUGAUUGGUGGGUAGAAUCAGCCCACAUGGGCUUAAGACAAGGAUGUGUGGAAUCACCCGGGCCAGGCUGGGGCCGACUGGGGCUACCCGGCCUGGGCCGACCCGGUACAGAUGAGAAUGGCCCAUAUGUCUCUCACCUGGCCAGGGAACGCCUUGGGAUUCCCCCGGAGGAGCUGGCCCAAGUGGCUGGGGAGAGGGAAGUCUGGGCCUCUCUCCUUAGGCUAAUGCCCCCGCAAACUGACUCCGGAUAAGCGGAUGAAAAUGGAUGGAUGGACUCCUUGCCUGUCAAAGACACCCCCCCCCCCCCAACCCAAACUCUUUUCCGCAUAUACACAUUAAAAGUGAUUAAUUACAAACGUUAUACAUCUUAUAUAAAGAUUUUAUUAUAUUAUUGUCAAGUUCAAAGUCGCAGUAGAGGAGCUGGUCCCAGAGGACAGUCACAUUGAUGAUAUCUUGACAUCCCACAACGAUCCUGAAAGGCUGGAAAAGACUACAAAAAAUGUGGAGGAAAUUCUGAGAGUGAACGGGUUUUUUCCUCAAGUCAUGGAUCCGGUCUGGGCAAAGUGGGAGGCGGAUAAACCAGGAAUCAACUAAACCUGUUUGAGAAAACCCAACAGGGAAAGAUGGAGUUGUGAUCCUUCCCAAUCAGAUGAGGGAAGGUGAAAACGGAGCCCUGGGGAUCGGAUACCUGGUCCAAGAGGACAAGUUGUAUAUAUUUUCCUCUAUCAAAUGUGUGUUUUUAGUAUUUUAUUAAUGUAAUUUUUGCAUAUUUAAUCCUGGUAACCUCACUACCUCAGAACAAACAAACCUGUGGGGACUCACUUGGGGGGGUCACGGACCCUACGUUGGGAACCACUGACUUAAACAAUUAAAAACUAAGGGCAUUAGCAUGGAUUUGGUCAUUCACAUAUGCAAACAAUCAGCAGCAAAUGAACACUGUUUUUUGGAAUCUGGCAUUUAAUGAGAAUGUUUGUGAUUUUUAGUUGAGACAGACGAGACAAUCUUGCAGAUCUAGAGCUUAUACUUAAAUAUCUGCAGUAACGGCCAACAAGGCUUUUUGAAAAGACCCCUGCUGUUAUGUUAAAAUGGUUACUUUUGAAAUAAAUGGUUGCUGUUGUUGCAUUUUCUCUAUUAAGAAAUAUUUUGUAAAUACUGUCAUCUUUUCGUGUGCUUUUGUAGCCACAGAUAAGGUUGUGUGAUGACUACUGAAUCCUUUCAUUGCAGAGACCCGUCAGUGAAGAGAACAAUAUGCAAGAAGUGUUGCUCUUUACUUAUUCCAGGUGUUACAGCGACAGCAAGACAAAGAAGGAAAAACAAAAAGACUCGAUUCACCGUGCUGAGGUGUCUCGGCUGUGGCCAAAUCAAGACUCUACUAAAUAAUCCUGAUUAUAGUUUAUGGGUGGACAGACCCGAGGCUCAGCAGGAGCAGCCGG